rnacentral:rRNA from 1 species
UACGGGGGGAGCAAGCGUUGUUCGGAUUUACUGGGCGUAAAGGGCGCGUAGGCGGUCAGCACAAGUCAGUUGUGAAAUCUCCGGGCUUAACUCGGAAAGGUCAACUGAUACUGUGCGACUAGAGUGCGGAAGGGGCAACUGGAAUUCUCGGUGUAGCGGUGAAAUGCGUAGAUAUCGGGAGGAACACCAGUGGCGAAGGCGGGUCUCUGGACAGUUCCUGACGCUGAGGCACGAAGGUCAGGGGAGCAAACAGG